UCGGAUGUGGUGUACGGGCACCGCGAGUCGCCGUAGGUAUUCCUAGCGGAUGAUCAUUUACUCGCAGGUCGGGGUUCGAAUCCCCGCGUCCGAA